UUAGGAUUGAGCUACAUGCUGAGAGGAUUGAGACAUGGGAUCUGAGUGAAACAGUUUGGAGCUGCUGUUUGUUUUCCCAAAAAAAAAAGGACUCUGUAACGGUACUGCGACUCUGUGAAGUUGUAUUUUUGUGUUUGGCCAGGAAUCCCAGUAGGGAACCAGUAGUAGAGAGGGGAAAAUGCUCUGUGUGUUAGUUAGAGCCCAAGUCUGGCAAGGAUUUUGUUUUUUUUAUGCUGGUUUGCCCACAGAGUGAACAAUAAAUGGACUUUACCCUGUUAAAGAACUGUCUGAUCCUGCUCACAGCCCCUAGAUGUUCCCAUACUGGGUGAUAAUUUAUUUCCUAGAGUUUUAGUCCCCCUGGUAAAAAACCUGCAACUAUUUCCCAAAAUGUUAUUCAAAGUGGGAUCCAUUUGAAGAAUCACUAGGUUUUUAUUUGACCUUAUUAAACUCUGGGCUACAGGUCUCCCCCUCUCUCUUCCUAUUGAGAGUUGGACAGAUUUGAAUAUGGCAUACUUCUUCAGCUGAAAGUCUUGGGCAUGUGCACCUGGACCCAUUGAAUGAAGUGAUACCAUCAGUGGUUGAAUCCAUUCUCCUUAAAUCCAUCCUUUCCUGACAAAAUUUCCCUUAUCUUUGCACAGCAGACGACCUGUGGUCACCUUACAUCAAGCACAGUAAUGCAUCUGGCACCUGAGCAGACACUGUACUAGCAAUCUCUCUUCACAGCUGCCCUGCUCAGGUCCCCACAACAUCAAGAUUAAUGGAAUCAUGCAUCUAAUUGAAUGGCGUCACCACAGCUAAUUUAUUCAGCAUAGACGUCUACAUUAAAUAAAAAUCCAUGCACAAUGUUAUAAUUUCAGAUCCUAUUAGUUAGGAUCCUAUAAUUGUUGGUAACAAGGGAAAUCGAAAGAAAAAUAGUAUAUUCUGAAUGGAACACAUUUGUAUCUUCAAACAAAUAUUAGUUUUUGUAUUAACAUAUGAAGUUGUGUUAAUAUCAAUACAGAACAAAUUACAGUAUGUUCUGCUUCUUUUAAAAUAACAUAAUUUUCUUAAGACAGGCCAGGUACAUUAUAGACCUUUUUAGAAGAAAAAAAAUUGUCUGUAAUUUUGUAGUAUCAAAAAUGCAACUCAAUAGGCCUGAGCAUUAUGUAAAUAAAGCAGCUAAUAUAGCCCACAGAGGAGAAAGAAAGCAGCAUUUCUGUACAUGGGGGGCAUUGGAUGGAAGUCCCAUGAUGCCACUGUACAUUGCCUGACAUGGUAAACCAGUUCAGGAUGGGGGUAACUUUACUUUUAAAUAACUGUACUAUUACAAUAGAAGUUUAACCUUUUGAUUGAGACAUCUUGAUCUGAAUAUACGUGUGGCCAGACCAUGAAACAAAGUGUUUAUCUUGUGUAAGUUUUUAGUAUAUAAUCCUUAUUAGUUACUAUUCACAGAAAUAUAAUUCACAGAAAGAAUCUGGAUGGAAGACCUUGCUGUCUCAAUAAAAAGUCAUAUUAAUGAUAUGGUCCUUGUAGUCUUAUGUCUAAUAUUCAAAUUGCUGCAUAUCAAGCAUCUAGAGAUACAGGAAAUUCAGAAUUUUACAAAAGAGAUCAAUUCUUAAAGCAAUGCUGCAUGAUAAACAUUGUUCAAGGGUCAAUGGUUUGUUUUAUGCAAUGCACCUGCCAAUGAGUAUCUUCUAUGCUUGAUGUUUUCGAUUCUUCUGAGCUUUAUAUAAUCCUCACCUAAUGCAUUAAACUGUUCUAUCUAGAUCUGAAAACCUAAAGCACUAUAUCUGCCCUUCUCAUGUUUAAAUACAAUGUAACUUCUGCAAAUAAAAGUGCAUGCUGAUCU